CGCUCCGCAGACAACUACGGAGCCUGUGCUCCGAGGAAACACCGUCCUCUGUACGGAUCCAGAGCCCUGCAAGGGGCCAGGGUAAUACCCUGGGCUCCGGCACAGAAACGACAUGUCCGCAAAUCGAUGAAGAUGAUGCGGCGAGGCUCCUUAGGUAACUAGGGAGCAGAACCCGCUGAUGAGGUUUGUGGAAGCAGUGAAACGGCCGUCCUCUGGAGGGUAAGGAUCCAGCUCGGUGAAGUCCGUAUGAGGGCUGGGAACCCGCUAAGCCUAAUGUUGUCUAAGACAGAAGACGGGUUAUUGCGGUGCG
rnacentral:RNase_P_RNA from 1 species